GGGAUAGCCAUGCGAGUCACAUAGCAAUAUGUGGCAUACGGCUCAGUAACACGUAGUCAACAUGCCCAGGGGACGUGGAUAACCUCGGGAAACUGAGGAUAAACCGCGAUAGGUCAUCACUUCUGGAAUGGGUAAUGACUUAAACCUAUAUGGCCCCUGGAUUGGACUGCGGCCGAUCAGGCUGUUGGUGAGGUAAUGGCCCACCAAACCUGUAACCGGUACGGGCUCUGAGAGGAGGAGCCCGGAGAUGGGCACUGAGACAAGGGCCCAGGCCCUAUGGGGCGCAGCAGGCGCGAAACCUCUGCAAUAGGCGAAAGCUUGACAGGGUUACUCUGAGUGAUUUCCGUUAAGGAGAUCUUUUGGCACCUCUAAAAAUGGUGCAGAAUAAGGGGUGGGCAAGUCUGGUGUCAGCCGCCGCGGUAAUACCAGCACCCCGAGUGGUCGGGACGUUUAUUGGGCCUAAAGCAUCCGUAGCCGGUUCUACAAGUCUUCCGUUAAAUCCACCUGCUUAACAGAUGGGCUGCGGAAGAUACUAUAGAGCUAGGAGGCGGGAGAGGCAAGCGGUACUCGAUGGGUAGGGGUAAAAUCCGUUGAUCCAUUGAAGACCACCAGUGGCGAAGGCGGCUUGCCAGAACGCGCUCGACGGUGAGGGAUGAAAGCUGGGGGAGCAAACCGGAUUAGAUACCCGGGUAGUCCCAGCUGUAAACGAUGCAGACUCGGUGAUGAGUUGGCUUAUUGCUAACUCAGUGCCGCAGGGAAGCCGUUAAGUUUGCCGCCUGGGGAGUACGGUCGCAAGACUGAACUUAAAGGAAUUGGCGGGGGAGCAACACAGGGUGAGCCUGCGUU
rnacentral:rRNA from 1 species